rnacentral:rRNA from 1 species
UACAGAGGAGCCAAGCGUUGUCCGGAUUGACUGGGCGUAAAGCGCACGCAGGCGGAUGCGCGCGUGGGGUGUGAAAUCUGGCCGCUUAACGGCCAGGCGCCAUCCCAUACGGCGCGUCUGGAGUGAUGCAGAGGUCGGUGGAAUUGCCGGUGUAGUGGUGAAAUGCGUAGAGAUCGGCAGGAACACCAGUGGCGAAGGCGACUACCUGGCCCAUUCUUGACGCUGAGGCGCGAAAGCUAGGGGAGCGAACGGG